AUUUUUAGCUCACCUGGCCCGAAGGGCCAAGUGAGCUUUUCCCAUCACUUGGCGUCCGUCGUCCGUCGUCCGUCGUCCGUCGUCCUCGUCGUCGUCCGUCGUCGUUAACUUUUACAAAAAUCUUCUCCUCUGAAACUACUGGGCCAAAUCAAACCAAACUUGGCCACAAUCAUCAUUGAGGUAUCUAGUUUAAAAAAUGUGUGGCGUGACCCGGCCAACCAACCAAGAUGGCCGCCAUGGCUAAAAAUAGAACAUAGGGGUAAAAUGCAGUUUUUGGCUUAUAACUCAAAAACCAAAGCAUUUAGAGCAAAUCUGACAUGGGUAAAAUUGUUUAUCAGGUCAAGAUCUUUCUGCCCUCAAAUUUUCAGAUGAAUCCGACAACCCGUUGUUGGGUUGCUGCCCCUGAAUUGGUAAUUUUAGGGAUUUUUUGCAGUUUUUGGUUAUUAUCUUGAAUAUUAUUAUAGAUAAAGAUAAACUGUAAACAGCAAUAAUGUUCAACAAAGUUAGAUUUACAAAUAAGCCAACAUGACUAAAAUGGUCAGUUGACCCCUUUAGGAGUUAUUGACCUUUAUAGUCAAUUUUUAACCGCUUUUCGUAAAUCUUAGUAAUCUUUUACAAAAAUCUUCUC
rnacentral:lncRNA from 1 species